GCUGGUGUAGCUCAGUAGUAGAGCGGCUGCCUUGUAAGCAGCGGGCCGGGGGUGCGAUUCCCUCUACCAGCUCCG
rnacentral:tRNA from 1 species